rnacentral:rRNA from 1 species
UACGAAGGGGGCUAGCGUUGCUCGGAAUCACUGGGCGUAAAGCGCACGUAGGCGGCUUUUUAAGUCAGGGGUGAAAUCCUGGAGCUCAACUCCAGAACUGCCUUUGAUACUGAGAAGCUUGAGUCCGAGAGAGGUGAGUGGAACUGCGAGUGUAGAGGUGAAAUUCGUAGAUAUUCGCAAGAACACCAGUGGCGAAGGCGGCUCACUGGCCCGGUACUGACGCUGAGGUGCGAAAGCGUGGGGAGCAAACAGG